AGACCCAAAGGAAUCUAGCCAGCAAGAGAAAGAGAAUCAAGUUGGUGGAGAAACUCAAGCAACAACUGAAAAUGCUAAUAAUGCCAGCAAUGCAUUCAGGAGCUACACAGACUUGCUAAUGGGUUCUAAUGGAAUUGAUAUGGAUUUUGGAGAUCUUCUUUAGGUUCCUAUUUCAUGACAAGAAGAAGAUAGUCCAUCUUCUUCUUUUGGCCUGAAUAUGUUCAGCUUGAAGAAAUUUGUGAAAAACACUGCAAAAUGGUGUUCUUUUGUGUAGAACCUGCAGCUCUAGUACUAUAUUUUGUUGGAGGUUAUUAUGGUUAUUU